AAAAGAGAUGGUGCAAUCAGAGUGAUGUGCAGUGCAAUACUUGAAUGCAUUUUCUUGUGCAUGUAAGUGGUAAAGGUUGAAACGGUAUUGUGGUCCAAAGACUGUAGAAUGCAUUGCAAAUGCUUUGUUUGGCACAGCUUUUGAUUUAAAAAAAAAAAAAAGAUGAGGAAGACUGACUUUAUACUUCAUGUGAUACUCUAGGGCUUUAGAAAUAAUAGAGAAAGGUUCGAGGAUCUUGCUGGCCACUUUCCAUGACCCUGCUCAGCAAGUGCAUGCCCACAUCAUGAUGCUGUCACCUCUUUAUUACAAGGGGCAAUCGGAGUGAUCUUAUAUAUUAGUUUUCCGUCACUUGUGGUAUUAUGCAUGUAAAACAAAAAGAAAAUAGUAAAUAUUUCUGGUGUGGAGACUGCUGAACGCUUUAAAAAAAAUGCUUAGAGAAAAAAAGGGGGUCAAAAUUGACUCUGAAUGUAAACCGUAAGAUUUUGAAAUCGCCGCAAAAAGCUGACAAGUGUUGCUGACAUUUUGUUUUAAAGCCCAUAACAAUUAUCUCUGCUUUUACCAAACUAUCACACAGCUACGGCACGGUUAGUCGUCAGAAAAUCUCGGUGUAUAGAUCCCAAUCCACGUCUCUGAUUACAAUUUGAAAACGAAGCCACUCCCUUCUGAAGCUCUGACACAAAUGGCAGAAUGAUGCGUCUCUCGUCUUAACGAGUUCGCUAUUAAAAACCUACAGAAAUGUAAAGCGUGACACGUGAUGUGGACAUACAUGGACUGUGAAGACCGCCGCAGAAUACAGAGUCACCCACCUUUACAAACUGUGACCAUGGUAACGGCAAAAUCAAAAGACGACAGUCAGAGUGAUGAAAUGCUUUUUUGUGCGUGUGCGUGUGCGUGUGUGUGUGUGUGCGUGCAUUUGUGUUCUGUGUUUUCAUGGUACCUGCACCAAAUUUAACAUCUCCAAAGCAGAGCAGGUCACAGCUGCAGCUGGCACAGUUGAAAAGAGAGGAAGACAUUCUGAAGACAUGGGAUUAUGGUCCUUCCUCUACCAACAAAAACGACGACAGCCUAGCAGAAACACAAAGAAACACGGAGAGAGGGGUGUCGGCCGUUCACCAUACCGUGGUUGCUCAUGCUGCAGUCACAUGAAGCCCCAGCAUGCGCUUCAAAAGAAAAGAAAAAAAAAAAAUCCUGCAGCAACGCCCAGGGACUGCAACAACUCAAUCUCCAAAAUAUCUGACCGGUGCUGCUUUUUUAUGUUGGAUCUGCAACAAGGAAGUGCAGUUUUGUUUGGGAGGGGUGGGGGGGAAAGGGGGUUACUCUGUACUUGCUGUGAACAAUGCUGAGGGUGGAGUUAAAACAUAACCUACUACACCAUGUGUAAUGUUCAUAGCUUGUCAGCUAUGAAUAAACUUAGUCCAAAAUCACAGUACUUCUUCUGCAAACCAUUAAGGAGUCAAUAAGUAUCACCACCACUAUGGGAGUAAGGAUGCUUUCAUUUUAUUUACUCUGCUGCUGCCUCAGAUUUAACAGGGGCGCCCAACAUGCAUACAGAGUACAGCGCACUCAUUCACAAAUCUAUUUCUCAAAUCAUUCCCCCCCCCCCUCCCCCCAAUAAAUUAACACAAGCAAUGAAAUAUGUUCCGUCCUAAGAGGUGAAACACAGUUCCUCUCCCUGGCUGUUCUUCUGAAUGAAGAGGUGCAUUCAUUCAGCUGGCACGUUUAACAAAUUCUGAUGCCAAAAAAAAAUAAAAAUAAAAAAAGCAAUUCACAGGGUGAAAAUACAGUGUUUCGAUGAAAUCGUGGA